rnacentral:rRNA from 1 species
UACGGGGGGGGCAAGCGUUGUUCGGAAUUACUGGGCGUAAAGGGCUCGUAGGCGGCCAACUAAGUCGGACGUGAAAUCCCCAGGCUCAACCUGGGAACUGCGUCCGAUACUGGAUGGCUUGAAUUCGGGAGAGGGAUGCAGAAUUCCAGGCGUAGCGGUGAAAUGCGCAGAUAUCAGGAGGAACACCGGUGGCGAAGGCGGAUCUCUGGGCCAUUACUGACGCUGAGGAGCGAAAGCGUGGGGAGCGAACAGG